AGAAAAGCUGUGAAAAGAACAAGUAGAAAUUAGAUGAGCCAAACAGAAAAUUGCCGGAUGAUGAGAGGCAUAUGGAAUUCUAAUUUUGAAUACAUCUUAGAGCUUCAAACUGAACAAAAUUAAAUUUUUAAGUAGGUUAGACGUAUCCUUGCACACGUUAUAGUGCUAAAGUAUAUCCAUGAAAAUGGCGUACUUGAAGAGGUUAAUUAUGUGAGUAAUUAAUAAAUUAAGGUGGUAACACGAGAUAUACUCUCGUCCUUUAU
rnacentral:ncRNA from 1 species